GACGAACGCUGACGGCGUGCUUAACACAUGCAAGUCGAACGGUGAAGCGCCUUCCUUUUUGGUGGGUGUGGAUGAGUGGCGAACGGGUGAGUAACACGUGAGUAACCUGCCCCCUUCUUCUGGAUAACCGCAUGAAAGUGUGGCUAAUACGGGAUAUUCUGGGUCUGUCGCAUGAUGGGUCUGGGAAAGAUAUUGUUUCGGUGGGGGAUGGGCUCGCGGCCUAUCAGCUUGUUGGUGGGGUGAUGGCCUACCAAGGCGGUGAGGGGUAGCCGGCCUGAGAGGGUGGACGGUCACACUGGGACUGAGACACGGCCCAGACUCCUACGGGAGGCAGCAGUGGGGAAUAUUGCACAAUGGGCGCAAGCCUGAUGCAGCGACGCCGCGUGAGGGAUGGAGGCCUUCGGGUUGUGAACCUCUUUCGCCAGUGAAGCAGGCCUGCCUCGUUUGUGGGUGGGUUGACGGUAGCUGGAUAAGAAGCGCCGGCUAACUACGUG
rnacentral:rRNA from 1 species